UGUGUGAUACAAAUGAUAUUGCCACCUCCUGUCAAGUGUAUUACCAUCGUGUUUUCAGUGCUGUCACUGCUGUACUCAGCUGCCGUACAUUUUCCAGCCCUCUGCCCUUGGCUGCGUCCUUGCGCCCGAAGAUGUUGCCCCAUGCAGUGCUGCUGUGCCUGGCUGUCCCUGCUACCAAAGAGGCAAAGACGUCUAUAAAGAGUCUGGCUCUGCCUUCUUUGUAACUUCUUCAUAUGGUGCUACUAGGUUUCCUGGGACCUUCUCUUCUCCUGGCUGUACAAGUCCAAUUCAUACAGCCGUUUCUUCCACACCAUUCGAAAUGCCUUGGGAGUUGGGAAGAAAAGGGAAGGGAAGAGAAAAGAAAGGAAGGGAAGAGGAAAAAAGAGAAGACACCCAUCACUGGAGCUGGCCUGUGAGAGCUUUGGAUGCAAACCACUUGGAAGCUCUAC